CGCCCGCUCAGAAACUUAAAGGAAUUGACGGGGACCCGCACAAGCAGCGGAGCAUGUGGUUUAAUUCGAAGCAACGCGAAGAACCUUACCAGAUCUUGACAUCCAAUUGACCAUCUUUUAAUCGAGAUUUUGCCUUCGGGUACAAUUGAGACAGGUGGUGCAUGGUUGUCGUCAGCUCGUGUCGUGAGAUGUUGGGUUAAGUCCCGCAACGAGCGCAACCCUUGUGUUUAGUUGCAAACAGGUCAAGCUGUGCACUCUAGACAGACUGCCGUGGACAACACGGAGGAAGGUGGGGAUGACGUCAAAUCAUCAUGCCCCUUAUGAUCUGGGCUACACACGUGCUACAAUGGCCGGUACAACGGGCAGCGAAGGAGCGAUCCGGAGCGAAUCCUAAAAAGCCGGUCCCAGUUCGGAUUGCAGGCUGAAACUCGCCUACAUGAAGUUGGAGUUGCUAGUAAUCGCGAAUCAGAAUGUCGCGGUGAAUGCGUUCCCGGGCCUU
rnacentral:rRNA from 1 species